rnacentral:rRNA from 1 species
CAGCAGUCGCCGCGGGAAUACGUAGGGUGCAAGCGUUAAUCGGAAUUACUGGGCGUAAAGCGUGCGCAGGCGGUUAUAUAAGACAGAUGUGAAAUCCCCGGGCUCAACCUGGGAACUGCAUUUGUGACUGUAUAGCUAGAGUACGGCAGAGGGGGAUGGAAUUCCGCGUGUAGCAGUGAAAUGCGUAGAUAUGCGGAGGAACACCGAUGGCGAAGGCAAUCCCCUGGGCCUGUACUGACGCUCAGGUGCGAAAGCGUGGGGAGCAAACAGGAUUAGAUACCCCAGUAGUCCCUGUCUCUUAUAC